rnacentral:rRNA from 1 species
UACGUAGGGGGCAAGCGUUGUCCGGAUUUAUUGGGCGUAAAGAGCGUGUAGGCGGUCUGGUAGGUCCGUUGUGAAAACUCGAGGCUCAACCUCGAGACGCCGAUGGAAACCCUCAGACUAGAGUCCGGAAGAGGAGAGUGGAAUUCCUGGUGUAGCGGUGAAAUGCGCAGAUAUCAGGAAGAACACCCGUGGCUAAGGCGGCUCUCUGGGACGGUACUGACGCUGAGACGCGAAAGCGUGGGGAGCGAACAGG